rnacentral:tRNA from 1 species
GGGGCUGUAGCUCAGUGGUAGAGUGCUUGCCCUGAACGUAUGAGGCACUGGGUUUGAUCCUCAGCACCA